CCUACGGGAGGCAGCAGUGGGGAAUAUUGCGCAAUGGGCGAAAGCCUGACGCAGCGACGCCGCGUGAGGGAUGAAGGUCUUCGGAUCGUAAACCUCUGUCAGCAGGGAAGAACGGUCACUGUGCUAAUCAGCAGUGAAUUGACGGUACCUGCAAAGGAAGCACCGGCUAACUCCGUGCCAGCAGCCGCGGUAAUACGGAGGGUGCGAGCGUUAAUCGGAAUUACUGGGCGUAAAGCGCUCGUAGGCGGUAUGUCAAGUCAAGGGUGAAAUCCCCGCGCUCAACGUGGGAACUGCCUUUGAAACUGGCAAACGUGAGUGUGUGAGAGGAGAGUGGAAUUCCAGGUGUAGGAGUGAAAUCCGUAGAUAUUAGGAGGAACACCAGUGGCGAAGGCGGCUUACUGGACUGUAACUGACGUUGAGGCUCGAAAGCGUGGGGAGCAAACAGGAUUAGAUACCCUGGUAGUC
rnacentral:rRNA from 1 species